UGGAAAUCGUUCACCUGGUCAGAAGGACCGUCGCAUCAACAGCAGCAGAACCCUAGCAGUGGAAUGUUCGGAAGGUGGCAAUUUGGUGGGUCUCUUGCUCCGCCAAAACUUCGCGAUGGGUUAAUUACACUGAACCCCUUUAAAAUAUGACAUUCUCAGAAGUGCUUCCCUGUAGUUUUGAAAAUUAGAGUUAGCUCCCCCAUCAUCAGAAUGGGCAUUUCUCGUAUCCCAAAAUCAUGAGCCACCUUCCGUGUUUGGAUUGGUCAUUUUUUAAAAAAACUAGAAAUUUUCUGGCUGUGCAAUGCCCAAUUUGUUGUGUAAAAAAUAUUGAAAAAUUCCCCAUAACUCCGAUUUUUAAAAUUAAUAGAACAUGGAAUAUUUAAUUGUCGUCAUGUUGAGAAACCAUGUCCAUGUGCAAACUAUUAUAGCAGUAGAGUAAUUAAAGCAAUGUCCAUGUCCAUGUGCAAAACCAGAGAAACUAAUAUAACAAGGAAGCUGCAAAAUAAUUAAAGACUGAGGUAUGUUAAAAGUCUUUGUCCCCCCCAAGUUAGGACCGUCCAUUGAACAAUCCCCUUUCAAUGAACCAAAGUAUGGAACUCAAAAGUGCUUAUCCGUGCCAGAAAUUAAUCAGUGCAUAACCAGUUCCUAAAACCAAAAUUUAAGCAGAAACCAAAUUGUAACAAACAAACCAUGAUUUGAGUGCAGAUUCUACUUGUUGAGCCCCAAAACAUGUGGAAAAUUAGAACCAAGAUAGUAGAAGCUGGGGAAAUACUCUUUAAAUGGUUUUUGGUCCUAACUAUGAUAGUCACUAACAUUACAAUGCAGUAAAAGUCAAAAACAAUCGAUGAUAUUAAUGUUUCUAGGUCUAUCAAAGUAUUGUUUCCAAUGGAAUUUAAAGAUAGUUCGAGCCAUUGCAAGACAUUAAAGGAUAAUUCAGCAUACAAACACAAAGGCAAAAGUAAAAUCAUUUUUUAUUAGGACCAAACAGUAAGCUAAAGAACAUCUCUCAAAUCAUCUAAUACUCCAUAACAAUGGGACACGUAAAUUUUCAGAAAACUAAACCAUUGUAGUGGUAAAGCUACCUUUAGAAGCAAAUUAUCAAACACAAAGCAUGCUACAAUUGUAAGAGAUGAUCACACAUCUUAAACACUGGAUGUUUACUUUGCUGUGCUUCUUCUUGAUUCUUUCAAACUUACAAAACAAUCAAUAAUAAAAAAAGCAAACAUUUCUGCUAGGAGGUCAAUUUGGGAAAAAAAAGACUAGAAAAACUCAACAAUAAAUUCAUCAAAUGGCUGAAAAUUGAUGUGAAACUGUGAGUUUUUCUUUGUGUUUUUGGCUAGGAAGGAAAAUAGGGGUGGGGAGGGGAGAUGUAUAGUGCUUUCCCCUCUUUGAUUCUCUCCUUUUUCUGGGAAAAAAAGAAUUGCAUGGUUGGGAGAUGAGAUAGUGUACAUAGAAGGUAAAUCGGAAGGCCAAGCAUAAAUUGGGGGGGGGAAAUCACUAAUUUUUUGGCCAAUAAGAAUGUUUUUUAAAAUAUACUUUAUUAAUAAUUCGAUGCCUUAAAAUACCACAUGAAACCAGUAAAGCGCGGCUAUAUCUUCUUAAGAAGCAUAAGCAAAAACUUAUCAUAAGAGUAAAUAGCCAAACAUAUAGGCACAUAACACUAAUAUUAAAAUAUUUAAAAUAUCAGACCAUAUAAUAUUAACAAAAAUUUCAGCAAAUUAAUGAUACAAAUCAAAGGUAAACUAACCUGGAAUGAACAGAAAUUUCACUGCAAAACCUUUUCUAUUUUCGGACCAAAGCUGAAAAUUAGAAAAAAAAAUUACUAAUCAGCAUAUAUGUCCGUGGUGCAAAAAAAUAAAGAAAAAAAGAAUGGCAAGAAAUGUAUUUACCAGGAUGCAAAGGAACAUAAGGCACCAAACCACUUGCGAGGAUUCUCCACUUUCCAAACAAAGUGAAAAUACCAAAAAAAAAAACACUAAUUGUGUAGCAUUUGUGUCUGCUAUGCGAAAAGGAAAAAGGCAAAGAUGAGUUAUUUUGAUAGACUAUAUGUAAAAUUAAUCUGAGAAUUUGUGGCAUAUUCAACCUUAAAAUAGACUUGACAGGCUAGUUAAUGGCAUACGACAAUGCCCAUAAUAAAAGUCUGUAACUUCAGUCACAUCCAAAUGAAUGACAGAAUAUUCCACACCAAAUAAUGCAAUAGAACACCGACACUUUUCUCAUGUUGCAUUAUGCUGGGUAAUUUGCAAAAGGUGAAGUAUGUAUGUAUGAUUUUACGUGAUCCAUUUCUUACACAAAACAUGAUUCAUUCAAUAGUCAAAAUUUGACUCAGCACAAGAAAAGCUACCCAAGAGUCCACAAAAUUAGGUUAAACAACGUCAACAGCUCUCAACACACAAGACUUUUUCAAUCAGGAAAUUAACAUUGGAACCACAACCAUAACACAUUUUAAGUUAAGAUGACAGCCAAAGCAAAGAGUACUACGGCAGAAAAUUUAAUUGCAAUACGGCCUUAAAUUCCACAUUACAAAAAGAAAUAGAAUAAACGUUUUUCUUUUUUGAGAAAUAGAACAAAUUUGAAUUACAAUAUUAGAUUUAAUUUUUAAAAGGCAUUCAAAAUAGAUUGCAAAUUCAGCUCCCAGAUCGCCAAUAAAAGAAAACCAAAACCUCAGUAUCACAGGCAAGAACAAAAAAUAAAGCUGGAUUUAAGAAGCAGCAGUAGCAUAAGAAUAUGUAAAGCUAUUCAACUAAGUAUCUACUAAUUAAUCCCUAAUCAAGAUUGUAAUACACACAGAGAAGGAAAAUUACCAUAGAUUUCAGCUGAAGUGAGAAAUCAGUGUGCAGAAAAGACCCAAUUGGAAGAAAACGGUAGGGUUCCAAUGGCGGUUCAGGCAAGGCGGAGUAGAUGAUUGAUGGCCGAUAGGCAUAAAGAAGUCUUGAAGAUUACGAAUUAGGGUAAAGAAUUUGGGGGAAAGGUCUGGAAAAUUAAGGGCAUGUUUGGUAUUAGCGUUUUUCUGUUUUUUCCAAAGCAAUUUCUAUGUUCCUCGCUCUGUUAGUUUCUGCUUACACUAGGACAAAAUAUGAACCUACGUGUUCUCACUUAUCACUUUAUAAAAUGAAAAUCCCUACUAUUUCAAAAUCAAGAAGGGAGGUUUGUGAUUUUAUCAAAACUAUAAGGGGGUUAGUGUAAUUUACCCUUUUUCUUAUUUCUGAGAUUUUGUAGAGUGAUAAGUGAGAACACGUAGGUUCAUAUUUUGUCCUAGUGUAAGCAGAAACUAACAGAGCGAGGUACAUAGAAAUUGCUUUGGAAAAAACAGAAAAACACUAAUACCAAACAUGCCCUUAAUUUUCCAGACCUUUCCCCCAAAUUCUUUGCCCUAAUUCGUAAUCUUCAAGGUUUCUUCAUCUCUAUUGGCCAUCAAUCAUCAAUUCCGCCCUGCCUGAACUGCCACUGAAACCCUACCGUUUUCUUCCAAUUGGGUUUUUUCUGCACACUGAUUUCUCACUUCAGCUGAAAUCUAUGGUAAUUUUCCUUCUCUGUAUGUAUUACAAUCUUGAUUAGGGAUUAAUUAGUAGAUACUUAGUUGAAUAGCUUUACGUAUUCUUAUGCUACUGCUUCUUCUUAAAUCCUGCUUUAUUUUUUGUUCUUCCCCUGUGAUACUGAGGUUUUGGUUUUCUUUUAUUGGCAAUCCGGGAGCUAAAUUUGCGAUCUAUUUUGAAUACUUUUUAAAAAUUAAAUCUAAUAUUUUAAUUCAAAUUUGUUCUAUUUCUCAAAAAAGAAAAACGUUUGUUCUAUUUCUUUUUGUAACGUGGAAUUUAAGGCCGUAUUGCAAUUAAAUUUUCUGCCGUAGUACUCUUUGCUUUGGCUGUCAUCUUAACUUAAAAUGUGUUAUGGUUGUGGUUCCAAUGUUAAUUCCUGAUUGAAAAAGUCUUGUGUGUUGAGAGCUGUUGACGUUGUUUAACCUAAUUUUGUGGACUCUUGGGUAGCUUUUCUUGUGCUGAGUCAAAUUUUGACUAUUGAAUGAAUCAUAUUUUGUGUAAGAAAUGGAUCACGUAAAAUCAUACAUCCAUACUUCACCUUUUGCAAAUUACCCAGCAUAAUGCAACAUGAGAAAAGUGUCGGUGUUCAAUUGCAUUAUUUGGUGUGGAAUAUUCUGUCAUUCAUUUGGAUGUGACUGAAGUUACAGACUUUUAUUAUUGACAUUGUCGUAUGCCAUUAACUAGCCUGUCAAGUCUAUUUUAAGGUUGAAUAUGCCAUAAAUUCUUAGAUGAAUUUUACAUAUAGUCUAUCAAAAUAACUCAUCUUUGCCUUUUUCCUCUUCGCAUAGCAGACACGAAUGCUACACAAUUAGUGUUUUUUUUUUUUUUGGUAUUUUCAGCUUUGUUUGGAAAGUGGAGAAUCCUCGCAAGUGGUUUGGUGCCUUUUGUUCCUUUGCAUCCUAGUAAAUACAUUUCUUGCCAUUCUUUUUUUCUUUAUUUUUUUGCACCACAGACAUAUAUACUGAUCAGUAAUUUUUUUUUUCUAAUUUUCAGCUUUGGUCCGAAAAUAGAAAAGGUUUUGCAGUGAAAUUUCUGUUCAUUCCAGGUUAGUUUACCUCUGAUUUGUAUCAUUAAUUUGCUGAAAUUUUUGUUAAUAUUAUAUGGGCUGAUAUUUUAAAUAUUUUUCCAGGUUAGUUUUCCAGUAAAAGAGACUUUUUCUCUUGACAUCUAAACAAAAGGUUGGAUUUGUGUGUGCAAGGUCACAUCAUUAGCAAACGGCUUAGCAAAGAAACAUCCAAAUUUUCUUCAAGUCCGAGAGAAAAAUAUUUGCAUUUAGCUAGUUAAGUUAAGGAUCAUUCAUUACAUUCAACGAAAAGUUAUGAUAAGAGAGAUUGUAGGUUGUUCUAUUCUCUUAUAAGGAGAAUUGCAAUUACCCGAUCCCUUGUGUUUAAGUUUUUUGGUAAGUACGCUUCUCUAUCUAGUAAUGUCUUCUGAAUUCUGAUUUAGUCUCUAAUCAUUAAUUCAUUACUAUAAAAUAAUAAUACUCCUAAUUCUGAUUUCUUCAACAAGUUCAAUGGGAAGAUUUAUAUGGUAGCAGAGUCUCGAUUAUCAGAGCUUCCUAUGGAGAAGGCAAAAAAGAGUGUACCUAAUGGACCCGUUAAUGAUUCUGAGAGCACAAAUCCUAAGACAAAGUGCUGGUGCUUCAGAACCGUAAAUAAUUUUCAAGCAAGAAAACCAAAUUUUCACAAAUCCUAAUGGACCCGUCAAUAAUUCCCUUCAACUCAAUUCAAUCAAAGGCAAUAUACGUUCAAAUACCAAGAAAACCAAAUACAAAUCACAACUUUAUCAAUCACCAUCUCCACACGUAUCAAAUUUCAAGCAAGAAAAUAACCAGACUCACAUGUGACUUUAAUUGAAGUGCUGGUGCUUGAGCUUCAGUGUGGUGGCAGGCUGGUAGCACGAAAAUUGGAGAAGAACGGGUGCUGGAGCUUCAAACUUUGAAGCUUGAAACGGCCAAAAUCUGGCGGCAACAGAGGAUUUCGUAGCUUGAUAUUCUUACCGAAGCAAUGGCUGCUGGAGCUUGAAGCUUUAAAGCUUGAAGCCUUGAAGCUGUCAGCUGUAGCUUGUGGGUUCUUGGUAGAAGCCGCAGCGAUUUGUCUUGUGGGUUCUUGGUAAGAGCUGUAGCCGAAGCUUGAGGUGGUUUGAUGGUUGGGAUUUGAUUUGGGCAGCGGAGAGGAGAAGAGAAACGACAAAGGUCUGCUUGAGGAGAAGAUGAAGAAGACCCGAAGCUUUUUUUU
rnacentral:lncRNA from 1 species